AGUCCGAAUAGGGCGUUCAGUUGCUGGGCGUAGACCCGAAACCAGGGGAUCUAUCCAUGGCCAGGAUGAAGGUGCGGUAACACGUACUGGAGGUCCGAACCCACUAACGUUGAAAAGUUAGGGGAUGAGCUGUGGAUAGGGGUGAAAGGCUAAACAAACCUGGAAAUAGCUGGUUCUCUCCGAAAACUAUUUAGGUAGUGCCUCGUGUCUCACCUUCGGGGGUAGAGCACUGUCAUGGUUGGGGGGUCUAUUGCAGAUUACCCCGCCAUAGCAAACUCCGAAUACCGAAGAGUGCAAUCACGGGAGACAGACAUCGGGUGCUAACGUCCGGUGUCAAGAGGGAAACAACCCAGACCGCCAGCUAAGGUCCCCAAAUAUAGCUAAGUGGGAAACGAAGUGGGAAGGCUAAAACAGUCAGGAGGUUGGCUUAGAAGCAGCCACCCUUUAAAGAAAGCGUAAUAGCUCACUGAUCGAGUCGUCCUGCGCGGAAGAUGUAACGGGGCUAAGCUAUAUACCGAAGCUGCGGAUGCGUGCUUGCACGCAUGGUAGGAGAGCGUUCCGUAAGCCUGCGAAGGUGCCUUGUAAAGGGUGCUGGAGGUAUCGGAAGUGCGAAUGCUGACAUGAGUAGCGAUAAAGGGGGUGAAAGGCCCCCUCGCCGUAAGCCCAAGGUUUCCUACGCAACGUUCAUCGGCGUAGGGUGAGUCGGCCCCUAAGGCGAGGCAGAAAUGCGUAGCUGAUGGGAAGCAGGUCAAUAUUCCUGCACCGUCGUUAGAUGCGAUGGGGGGACGGAUCGCGGAAGGUUGUCCGGGUGUUGGAAGUCCCGGUCGCUGCAUUGGAGAAGGCGCUUAGGCAAAUCCGGGCGCAGGAUUCAAGGGUGUGGCGCGAGCUCCCUCGGGAGCGAAGCAAUUGGAAGUGGUUCCAAGAAAAGCCUCUAAGCUUCAGUCUAACGAUGACCGUACCGCAAACCGACACAGGUGGGCGAGAUGAGUAUUCUAAGGCGCUUGAGAGAACUCGGGAGAAGGAACUCGGCAAAUUGGUACCGUAACUUCGGGAUAAGGUACGCCCUUGUAGCUUGAUGCGCCUGCGCGCAGAGGGUGAAGGGGUUGCAAUAAACUGGUGGCUGCGACUGUUUAAUAAAAACACAGCACUCUGCAAACACGAAAGUGGACGUAUAGGGUGUGACGCCUGCCCGGUGCCGGAAGAUUAAAUGAUGGGGUGCAAGCUCUUGAUUGAAGUCCCGGUAAACGGCGGCCGUAACUAUAACGGUCCUAAGGUAGCGAAAUUCCUUGUCGGGUAAGUUCCGACCUGCACGAAUGGCGUAACGAUGGCCACACUGUCUCCUCCCGAGACUCAGCGAAGUUGAAGUGUUUGUGAUGAUGCAAUCUACCCGCGGCUAGACGGAAAGACCCCAUGAACCUUUACUGUAGCUUUGCAUUGGACUUUGAACCGAUCUGUGUAGGAUAGGUGGGAGGCUAUGAAGCCGGAACGCUAGUUUCGGUGGAGCCGUCCUUGAAAUACCACCCUGGUUUGUUUGAGGUUCUAACCUUGGCCCGUGAUCCGGGUCGGGGACAGUGCAUGGUAGGCAGUUUGACUGGGGCGGUCUCCUCCCAAAGCGUAACGGAGGAGUACGAAGGUACGCUAGGUACGGUCGGAAAUCGUGCUGAUAGUGCAAUGGCAUAAGCGUGCUUAACUGCGAGACCGACAAGUCGAGCAGGUGCGAAAGCAGGUCAUAGUGAUCCGGUGGUUCUGUAUGGAAGGGCCAUCGCUCAACGGAUAAAAGGUACUCUGGGGAUAACAGGCUGAUACCGCCCAAGAGUUCAUAUCGACGGCGGUGUUUGGCACCUCGAUGUCGGCUCAUCUCAUCCUGGGGCUGUAGCCGGUCCCAAGGGUAUGGCUGUUCGCCAUUUAAAGAGGUACGUGAGCUGGGUUUAAAACGUCGUGAGACAGUUUGGUCCCUAUCUGCCGUGGGCGUUGGAUAUUUGAAGGGGGCUGCUCCUAGUACGAGAGGACCGGAGUGGACGAACCUCUGGUGUACCGGUUGUGACGCCAGUCGCAUCGCCGGGUAGCUAUGUUCGGAAGAGAUAACCGCUGAAAGCAUCUAAGCGGGAAACUCGCCUUAAGAUGAGAUAUCCCCGGGGACUUGAUCCCCUUGAAGGGUCGUUCGAGACCAGGACGUUGAUAGGUCAGGUGUGUAAGCGCAGUAAUGCGUUCAGCUAACUGAUACUAAUUGCCCGUAAGGCUUGAUCCUAUAACA
rnacentral:rRNA from 1 species